rnacentral:lncRNA from 1 species
CUGGGCAAAAAAAAAAUAUGAUCAUCACAAUAAUAUUAGGUCUUGGAACCAUGACUUAUUACAUAAUCAGUUUAUUCACUCUACAUAAAGCAGCGGACUCACAAAGACACAUGCAUAUUGGAUACUACAUUAUAUGGAAGGCGUGCAUGCAUCCGUAACCGAUCACACCCUUAGCUGCACCUGGGGCUCUGCACGAAGUUGCUAACCGGAAAUGACUGGUCGAACGUGGCUGCAUGCUCACUACCAGUAAACCUCAGCUUGUCACCGACGCGUUGAACCGUGUGGAAUGCGAGAAAAUCCCACUCAAAUUGGAUCCUCACGCCACCCAGUUGAGUUAUGGAUCCGGGCCGGAUAACACCACUGACUAUGCUGUCAAACCGAAUCUUGUGUGAUCCACCGGCAACCGUAACAUUGAAGUCGCAGGAGGCGGGGAGUGUCACCUCAACGGCGCCCCCAUGGUUCACGUACGACUUCACACCCUGAGGCAGGAGAGCCCGCGGGAAGUUGUUUUUCUCCAAAAGGUCGUACGCUGUGUCGGAGGUGGCUGCUUGGAGGACAGAAGCCAGGAAGACGAUGAGGAGCAGAUGCUGGAUGGCCAUGGCUAGCUAACUGUUGUUGCUUACAAAUUGUAUCAAGGAAUAUGAGGAACUGGGAAGUAUGUGUAGACUGAGGCCCUGGCCACGUAUUAUAUAUGCUGCCCAACGAAAUCAAAGUCAAUCGUACUUUAAUUGCAUUUAUUUUGUUCCUGAUUAUCACUCCAUCAACCACCUCAUCAAAUAUGCUAAAAAUAUCAUCCCAUUAAAUCAUAUUUAUUUCUGGCCUAGAACAUUCUAUAGUUAAUGGUUAUGCCAAAACGUUCCUCAAAUAUUCAUAAUCAAUACGUACCAUAAAAUGAGACUGAAAUUUCAGAGCAACAUUCAUUUACGUACUUCACAGCCGACAUAUGAAACAUAUGCAAAAACCUAAAAAUGAAUCAAGGGGAAACAUCAACAUCCAAACAGUUUGAUCCUUGAUGUUGGCUUGGGUACCAAUGAGGCUUCUCUUCUCUUCAAAUAAUGUUGUGCAGUGCAACUAAAACAUAAAACACCCGCAAGAAAGAAAUAUUUCAUUUAGAUAUACUUGAGUUUUACAUGAGUAUGCGGUGCAAUAGAAUGAUUAUCUCCCAUUGUGCAGAUCAUCUCUUUCAGGAUGCCUACUCAGGCCAGCACAGACUCAUACAUGACAUCUCCGUGAAAGUUUCCACAAUGUUAUAGCAUGAACUCCCAGACCGUGAGAGAGGCUCAGUACCCAUAUCCAAAAUGAAGAGUGCGGAGGAGCAGGUGCCUACCCCUCCACCUUCCACUUCUCUUAAAAUUUUCCUGUGCAAUGCAACUAAACUAAAAAACAACUCCAAGCAAUAUAUUCAAUUUAUAUCUUGUUGGGUUAUGAUACGUCUCCAACGUAUUUAUAUAUUUUUUAUUGUUCCAUGCUAUUAUAAUUGUUGGGUCAUGAGCCGAAAGCAAGCCAUCGAACAUGCCAGUGUUGGAUUGGAUGAGAUUGUCGACCGCCUGAAGGAGGUUCUCAUCGUGAUCCUUGAAGAGCCGGUCCAGACCUACGGUGAAAUACGCUCGUUGAAGCGCGUACACGCCACACCUUUCCUCGGACGGCUUGUCCAUCGCCUCCGCUCACGGCCGAUCACGCCACCGCGUCCCGUGAUGGUGUCACGGCAACUCCAGGACCACUUAAUCUUAUACCAAUUGUGAGCAACUCACCUGAUCGAGAGGAAUUGCUAGGGAUUAGAAUUCGAAAUUGCGGAAAUUGGUUUGUUAGCUAGACGUCCGUCCACCCUCACAGCUACACUACACCGCAUGUUGCCAUCAUCCAAAUCCCAGCCAGGAGAUAGGAGAGAAGUAUAAUGCCUACUAGCUUAGCCCGCGCGGCAACACGCCGCGCCCAUCGAUCAGUCACGACUAUGUAGACUAUGGUCCAAGCAAUAGAGUAAUAAGUAGUUAUGAUGAAAUUUGUUGCAUAACUUGAGGCUUUUUAGCAAAUUCUUUUGUUCACAACAAUUUAUAGACACAAAUAUCUAUCUUUCAUGGAAACUUUUAGUUUAUUUUGUACAUAGCAAGGGUCUGUCCACCAAGUUGAAACAAAUACACAACAUGACCAAAAGUAAGGAACUUCGGAACAGUGCUUUCGUAGCUAAAAUUUAAUAAUUUUUCACAUUUCAUAACAUAAAUACUUAACUAAAACUUACAUCUGAUCUGAAGUACAACCAUUGAGACAGUAAAAAAACCACUAUUUUGAUCAUCACAAAAAAAUUAAUGUGCAUUUCAUGGAAAAAGUUUAGAGACAAAAUAAUUUAGCCAAGAGAAAAACUAUUUCAGAUCACAAAAGGCGCUCCAAAGAGUAAUUGUGUAUAUUAUUCAAAAGAACACUUUGUUACCUUCAGGCUUUAAUUAGCCCCAUUGUAUCUUGUGGAAUCAUGCAGUGAUACAAAUUCUUACCAUAAACAAAAAAAUUAAGCAGCUCUUAAUAUAGAAACAACCAUAUCACUCUGAAUCAAGGGAGCAUGAUGCGAUGAACUGAUGACGGGGAAUCUAUGGUAGCAUAUACCCAGGAAACAGUGUUCAUGGAAACUUUGUUAAACAACCCCUUGCUCAGCUUAAAAGUAUUCCUUCCUGGGUCUCCACUGAAACAAAACAAUAUUUAUACACCCACAGGUGAGAACAAUAUGAGAUUGUUUGAUAUAAAACCAACAAUGCUUGAACAUACUUGUUUCUCUACCUCACCAUGUGGCAACCAGAAAAAGCUUUAACAAAUUAAAAACCACUUGCAAAGUGAAGUUGAGAGCCUUCACUUAUUUCUCAAAAUGGAAGGAGGAAGGGGCCUUAAUUUGUCCCAGUAACCCCAUGAAUAUAAUUAGCCAAAUAUGUGGCAUUUCAUCUUAUUACAUGGUCAUGCUGAAGGAGGGAACAUCAAUAAAAUUAGGCAUAAGAAAUCCAUCAAAUGAAGAGAGAUGUACUUAGAAAUAAGAAUAACAAACAUUCUCAGAUACUGCUUUCUGCCACGGAUGGCUCUCCUUCUUCGGAUGCUGCUUUUUAUCGGUCUGUCGUUGGUGCUCUUCAGUACCUUACUCUGACUCGACCGGAGAUCCAGUAUGCCGUGCAACAUGUGUGUCUUCAUAUGCAUGCUCCUCGAGACAUUCACUGGGCUGCCGUCAAGCGGAUUCUCCGCUAUAUCUGUGGCACUAUGGAUCUUGGCGUCACGCUUCACGCCUCCGCCGACACCGCCCUGCGUACUCCGAUGCAGACUGGGCGGGCUGCCCUGACACUCGUCGUUCCACUUCGGGCUACUGUGUCUACCUUGGACCCUCACUUAUCUCGUGGUCGUCCAAGCGGCAGCCUACGGUCUCUCGUUCUAGUGCUGAGGCUGAGUAUCGUGCGGUGGCCAACGCCGUCGCCGAGUGUUCGUGGCUUCGCCAGCUGCUUCAGGAGCUCUCUUGUCCUGUUGACCGUGCCACGGUGGUCUACCGCGACAACGUCUCGGCGGUCUACCUCUCCGCUAACCCGGUGCAUCAUCGACGGACCAAACAUAUUGAGUUGGAUAUUCAUUUUGUUCGGGAACAGGUGGCCCUUGGCCAUAUUCGUGUUUUACACGUCCAUACUUCCCAACAAUUNNNNNNNNNNNNNNNNNNNNNNNNNNNNNNNNNNNNNNNNNNNNNNNNNNNNNNNNNNNNNNNNNNNNNNNNNNNNNNNNNNNNNNNNNNNNNNNNNNNNNNNNNNNNNNNNNNNNNNNNNNNNNNNNNNNNNNNNNNNNNNNNNNNNNNNNNNNNNNNNNNNNNNNNNNNNNNNNNNNNNNNNNNNNNNNNNNNNNNNNNNNNNNNNNNAGUAUAUGUGUUAUGUGCAUAUUGCGUAUUGGGCCCGCCUUCUAGUUCAUUGUAUAGUUGAGGUCCGUGGCCCAUCUUCGUACAUCAUAUAUACGUGCCUAUGCAUGAAGAGUAAUACAUCGUGCAAUUGCCACAACUCACAAUGUUGAACACGCCACUCCUCAAGAUCGUUGCAGCCUCGCUGCACCAGCGUCGUGAUUUUUCUGGCAAGCCGUUGGUCCCUGAUAUCAGCUGACGUUAGCUGACACAAGGGUCCCACUACGGCCGCCAUCGCUUGCCCCUUUGUUGUCGAUGCCAGGUGGGCCACUCACUUCAGCUCCUUCUCCAAGCCAGCCAGUUAAUCAGGUCACAAAACCAGCCAUGGAGCACCCCACCGAAUCCAGCCAAUCAGGUAUAGAACCUGUUGGCAUAAGCCAUGCCAUGUGCGGUGGCGACUGGCGUUGGGCGCGCCAGGUGUGUGUCCGUGUAUGCGUGGGAGAGGCCACCCGAGUCGUGUGUGCUGUGACAGUUCGUGCAUGCAUGUAGCUGGAUUAGUGGUCGCAGGUGGUGACCAAGCCACACGGGUCAUACGUGCAUCUAGUCUAGGUAGUUAGUAUAAGGAUGCAUGCAUUGGUUAGCGUGUUAGACGGCCAGUGGUGGUUGCCCUGUUUGGUUCAUAAGUCCUACGAUUUUUGUAGUCCCAACUUAUAAGUUUCAAGUCCCUAAAAAGUCCCUACCUGUUUGGUUCCUGCGACUUAUAAGUCCCUAUAAGACCAUAUUACAACUAUAAGACCCUAUAAGUUCCUCCUUAAAAGUCUUAUUUCAUAAGUCCCAAAUGCCCACUUUAAGUCCCUAUAAGUCCCUCCUGUUUGGUUUAGAUGGGACUUACAAGGACUUUUUUAAGUCUCUUGUAACGUCCCGGAUACAACUUUCCAUAUUCGUAACUCCAACUCUUGCCUUUUCCGGAGAUGCGAUAUGAUAUUUCCUUCGUGGUUGGGUUUUGUCUGUUGUUUUGCAUUUUGUUCUUGUUAUGCAUCUCAUCUCAUGUCAUCAUUCGCAUUGCAUCGGCAUUGUUUUUAUAAAACUUGCAUCCGUCCGAGUUCUCCCGGUUCUCUCCGUUGUCCGUUCUGAGCACAGACACACUCGCACGCGCCCGCGGCACCUCCGAAAUAUUAUUUUAUAAGUGGCAUAAAAAUGUUCUCGGAAUGGAUGCAACUUGGCGUGCGGUCUUAUUAUAGUGUAGACAGACCGCCUGUCAAGUUUCGUCGCAUUCGGAGUCCGUUUGACUGCCCAACCGUUAAACAUAUAGCGGCACCGUUGCCGGUGUUUUCGCCGGACGUUUCGGUCUCCGGAAUAGUUGCCGGGCCUCACUUCUCUUCUCUCCUCUCAGUCGAGGCCUCUCUUCACAGCCCACCUAGACCCCCUAUGUCCGGAGCUGCACGAUCGCGAUCGUACGGCUCGAAAACCCCUCCAAACCCUAAUCUUAACCUCCUGCCCUAUUUAAACCACCUUCCCCUUCCAAUUUUGGCAGCCUCCCCCCUCCUCCUCUUUUUCCGCACCACCCAACCCGCAGCCACCUCCUCCCACCUCGGGGGCCGCGCCGCCGCCUUCCCCCCUUCCAGAUCCGGCGCACCCCAGCGUCCCUCCGCCACUUGUCAAGCCCCUAGUGGCCAGCCACCGCCACAUCGUCGCCUCCAGCCACUCUGGGAGCGCCACAUGGCCUCGCCGCGUCCUCCUCGCCGCCGAGGCCCGCGGAAGCCCGCAACCGGACCACCCCGGGCCGCAUCUGGCCUCGGCGCGCCCACUCCCCCGCAACCGUGCCGUCUCCCCGCUCGCCCGAGCGAUCCAGAUCGGGAGAGGAGCUCCCGAUCCAGAUCGUGCCUCGCCGCCGCCUCUGGCCGAAGCCAUCUCGCGGCCGUCUCGCCGCCCCGGCGGACCCAGGUCACUGCCGCCCGGUCUCUCUCUCCCUUCCCUUUAUCCUUCCUCCCCUCACCAGCUCUCUCUCCCCCGCAGCUAGCCGCCGCCGCCAUGAACGCCUCCACCGAGCUCCGCCGUGGGCAUCACCACCUCACCGCCGGCCUCCUUCCGCCAGAUCCUGGCAGGGGAUGGUCGGAUCCAUCCAUCCCCAACCUCCCGCCGACCCCUACAUCGCCGGAGCGCUGCCCCGCCGCCGGUCUCCACCACGUCGACCUCCUUCCUCGUCCUCGUUCGAGCAGAGGACGAGGGCAUCCUCCUCGCGCACGUGGGCCAGCGCGUCGCCCUGCUGGUGGGUCACCCCACCUCCAAGGCCCACGUCGCCUCGGCUCAGCCCCGACCGGCCUCAAGGCCCGAUGUGAGCAGCUCCCCCACGCCUGGGCCAGAUCUCAGAUUCGGCCCAGGGUAGUUUUUUUUCCGUUCUGCGAUUUGCUAAUUAUCCAGAGUUUGCAUAUUUACAGAUUAACCCUCCAUGUUCAUGCAUAUAAUAACUCAUGAACCGUGCAUCGGAUUUAAAUAAUUUAUAUAUGUAAAAUGCUUAGAAUUUUGUGUAGAUUAAUAAUAUGCUGCUUGCAUCCAUGUUUAAAAUGUUGUUUGCAUUUAAUUUGCUCAAAUUCCAUGCUAAAAUGAUUUAUUUCAUAACUAAAUAACCGUAGCUCGGAAUUUAAUAAACUUUAUAUGUAAAUGGGGUUGAAAAAUGCCUAGAUUAACGUGGUGCACUUUAUUUUGCUGUUUAACAACAUUAAAAUUGUGUUUAGGGCAGAACAGUACCGAAUCUAAAAUAUGCAAAUGGGGAUUUUUCUGGAAUUGUUGUUUGUUGUUUCCGGCCUCAGUUAAACUUGCCUAGAUGGGUAGUUUAAUUAUGUUUCACCUCUUGCCAUGUUUAACAACAUUUAAUAUUGUUGUGUACCUAAACGAGAGCGAACUAAAUAACUCGGAUGUGGUGUUUCGUCAAUAUGCAACUCGUUGCAUAUUGAGCUCCACUCAACUUGUAUUAUUGUUUGUUGCACUUUGCCAUGCCAUGCCUCAUUAAACCGGACAUGCAUCAUACUUGUUUGUGCAUCAUGCCAUGAUUAUGCUUGUGUGUUUACCAUGUUGUUUGUUUCUUUCCGGUGUUACUUCUUAGUUCUGGUAAUGUUGUGAUUGUGAGGAUUUGUUCGACUACGCCCGUUCAUCUCCUUCAUGGACUCGUUCUUCUUCCUUGCGGGAUUUCAGGCAAGAUGACCGCUACCCUGGAUCUCACUACUAUCAUUGCUAUGCUAGUUGCUUCAUUCUAUCGCUAUGCUGCGUUACCUAUCCUUUGCUCUUCAAGCCUCCCAAAUUGCCAUGAACCUCUAACCUUUGACACUCUUCCUAGCAAACUGUUGCUUGGCUAUGUUACCGCUUUGCUCAGCCCCUCUUAUAGCGUUGUUAGUUGCAGGUGAAGUUGAAGAUUGCUCCAUGGUGGACAGGGUUUUGGUUGGGAUAUCACAAUAUCUCUUAUAUUAUUAAUGCAUCUAUAUAUUUGGUAAAGGGUGGAAGGCUCGGCCUUAUGCCUGGUGUUUUGUUCCACUCUUGCCGCCCUAGUUUCCGUCAUACCGGUGUUAUGUUCCCGGAUUUUGCGUUCCUUAUGCGGUCGGGUGAUUUAUGGGACCCCCUUGACAGUUCGCUUUGAAUAAAACUCCUCCAGCAAGGCCCAACAUUGGUUUUACCAUUUGCCUCACCNNNNNNNNNNNNNNNNNNNNNNNNNNNNNNNNNNNNNNNNNNNNNNNNNNNNNNNNNNNNNNNNNNNNNNNNNNNNNNNNNNNNNNNNNNNNNNNNNNNNNNNNNNNNNNNNNNNNNNNNNNNNNNNNNNNNNNNNNNNNNNNNNNNNNNNNNNNNNNNNNNNNNNNNNNNNNNNNNNNNNNNNNNNNNNNNNNNNNNNNNNNNNNNNNNNNNNNNNNNNNNNNNNNNNNNNNNNNNNNNNNNNNNNNNNNNNNNNNNNNNNNNNNNNNNNNNNNNNNNNNNNNNNNNNNNNNNNNNNNNNNNNNNNNNNNNNNNNNNNNNNNNNNNNNNNNNNNNNNNNNNNNNNNNNNNNNNNNNNNNNNNNNNNNNNNNNNNNNNNNNNNNNNNNNNNNNNNNNNNNNNNNNNNNNAAGUGUUGGUCCGAACCGGGCAGACUGCGGGGCCACCUCGGGGCAACUCGAGGGUUGGUUUUACUCGUAGGCUGGCCUAUCCAGUGUUGCCCUGAGAACGAGAUAUGUGCAGCUCCUAUCGGGAUUGUCGGCGCAUCGGGCGGCUUUGCUGGUCUUGUUUUACCAUUGUCGAAAUGUCUUGUAAACCGGGAUUCCGAGUCUGAUCGGGUCUUCCUGGGAGAAGGUAUAUCCUUCGUUGAUCGCGAGAGCUUAUCAUGGGCUAAGUUGGGACACCCCUACAGGGUAUAAUCUUUCGAAAGCCGUGCCUGCGGUUAUUGGCAGAUGAGAAUUUGUUAAUGUCCGGUUGUAGAUAACUUGACACCAGAUUCGAAUUAAAACGCAUCAACCGCGUGUGUAGCCGUGAUGGUCUCUUCUCGGCGGAGUCCGGGAAGUGAACACGGUUUAUGGGUUAUGUUUGACGUAAGUAGGAGUUCAGGAUCACUUCUUGAUCAUUGCUAGCUUCACGACCGUUCCUUUUGCUCUCUUCUCGCUCUUAUUUGCGUAUGUUAGCCACCAUAUAUGCUUAGUCGCUGCUGCAACCUCACCACUUUACCCCUUCCUUUCCUAUUAAGCUUUGCUAGUCUUGAUACCCAUGGUAAUGGGAUUGCUGAGUCCUCGUGGCUCACAGAUUACUACAACAACAGUUGCAGGUACAGGUUAUGCUAUGAUCAUGACGCGAGAGCGAUGCUUGCUUGUGUUGGAGUUCUUCUUCUGUUUCUUCUUCGAUCAGGGGAUAGGUUCCAGGUCGGCAGCCUGGGCUAGCAGGGUGCAUGUCGUUUGAGUUUUUGUUUAUGUUUCAUCCGUAGUCGGAUGGUGCUCUAUGUAUUGUGAUGUUGUAUUCGUGUGGCAUUGUAUGCCUCUUGUAGUAUCUCCAUCUAUUAUGUAAUGUUGAUGUAAUGAUAUCCACCUUGCAAAAGCGUUUCAAUAUGCGGGUCUAUCCUUGGUGGGACCUUCGAGUUCCUUUUGAAUAGGGUCGCAUAUUGGGCGUGACAAGUUGGUAUCAGAGCCUCGACCGACCAUAGGAGCCUCCUUGUUUGUUGGCCGUUGUUGAGUCUAGAAGAAAACUAUUUUGAGUCUUAGGAUUAUAUAUAUCGGAGAGUAGGAUUCUUUUUACUCCUCAGCCCCUUCGUCGCUCUUGUGAGGUCUCCUGACGUAGAUGUUUUGUCUUUCCUCUCCUCAAAUUUCACUAAAUUUUUUUAGGAUCACGCGGGUAUCUUGGAAUCGUUACGAUGGUUUUCUGACGAGAACAUUGUUCUUGGUGCCUCCUGUCUAUUAUGUGGCAUUGACCCGGGGAGUUGAGCUCCGAGGUGUUGUCGUCACAAUUUUAUCGUUGCAGUUCUGGAAUACCUGAGUUUUGCCGACAUCGAAAAUCUCUUUUAUGCAGUUGUUGGUGAGAUAACCUCGACGUCACCCAGUACUGGGGAGUUCGGGAGUAUUGCCAUAACUCGUAUAACGGAUGCUUUUAGAAGGUUCAGGUACACGAUUUCCGGAGUUUUCUUGGUUAUGUGUUAACGGAUGGAUACAGCUGGAUGUAGGGAUUGUUAGUGUGGGUGAGAUAUAUUGCUUCCCCUGUAUCCCCAACACCAGAUUGCAUAACCAGAAAGUUUCGGGAGUUUUAUAGGUGGGAAUUCUAGUAGCUCCUAGAAUAUCUUUCCGACAGAUGCAUGAUAUGGGAUUGGGUAAAUCUCUAUCAUAUGUAUUUGUUCCGGCUUAUUCUGCAAGCCAAACCCUUUGUUUUGUUUUAUUUGUGGUAUUUGAGUUGCUUCAAAGUCAAGUGUUGAUUCCAUACCUUUCAAGCGGUGUUCUCAUAUAUCUAUGGGAGUACUAAUCCUUUUGAUCAUUGAGAUUGUCAUGUCAAUUCUUUCCAUCCGGUGCGCUUCUCUUCAAGUGGAUCCGAUCAUUUUCAACAUCCGCAAGAUCAAUUCUAAGUUUUCUCAACGGUAUCCAUUCCAUCUGCCCCAAGUUGCCUUUGUUUUCCCGCCCUCCCACCCUUUUUCUUCAAGGGCCCAGAUUUCUUAAUCAAGUAUCCAUUUAUUCAUGUGAAGUCUCUUCACUCUUUUCAAUCAAUGUUUUGAUCCGGUGAUCCCUCGUGAAGAUGCUCACGAGCUUCAAGUUCAUCAAUCUUCAUUCUCGUAUUCUUUUCCGGUGGAUUUAAUUCAAGCUUUUGGUGUUCAUCAUAUUCCUUUCCUCGUUUCUAAUGCUUUCUCAUGCUGAUGCACCUCUUAAUUGUUCACCUCUCUCUAUUCUUAUCCAGAGUGCUCAAGAUAUCUCAAAAGACUUGUGUUUCCAUUCUCAAUCAGUUCAAGAUAUUUCGAGGUUGUUAUCUCAUUCAAGCCAUUUAAUUCAACCGGUGCAAUCUCUCUUCAAAAUCGUUCAACGGUGUUUUCUUUUGAGUGGGCCCUAACCCACAGGUCUUUUCCCAGGAUCUUACCUGACUCUUCUAAUUUUCCUAGAGCUUCUAAAAUUCAUUUCCAAGUUUGAUGUAAGAAUGAAUUUUCAUCAGUCACAUGCCUUCUCCAAGGUCGCUUUCAAAUUAUUUUCAUCUUUGGCUCAACCUUUCCUCUUUUAAUCCUUCCGGAGUUUCUCAACAAUUUGGUGGUGGUUCUCGUCAUCAUUCUCAACAUGUGAAGACCGAAGAAGUGUUUCCUCUAAAUCUUGGUCCAUUCUCUUAAAGAUUCAUGGUUCUAGCUUCAUGCUAUCCUCAUAAUUGUUUUGAUUGUGAGAUUUCUAUUCUUACCAUCCGGAGCAUUUCAUGAGUUGUUUCCAGUUCUUUCCUCCGAAGGUCAUCAUGUCUUAAUUCUUCAUUCGCAACGUGUAGCUAUCAUUCUCCAAAUCUUACCGGUGCAUCGCUCAAAUAUCCUCUAAUUAGUUCAUGAUUCCUUUGUUCUCAUGUAUCUAAAUCCCCUCAAGUAUCUUCAUUCGUUUUCAAAUUCUUCCCGGUGAAUUGUGCCUUUGCUACUUUCAUUUUCUAUUCUUACGGUGGUUCGUUCAAGAUUUCUCUUCCUUCGUCAUCGUAUCAAUUCAUUCAUUCAUUCGUUGUUUCCAAAUCCCACCGGUGGUUCCAUCAAUACCUUCUCAAGUUUGCGCUAUAUCUCUCUUAAUCCUUUCUACGAGAAUAAGUAGUAUGCCAAAUCCGUUGCUUGUCAUCAAUUAAAUUUGAUGAAGGAUAAGCAUACAAUAAAUCUUAUUCUUAUUUCCUCGAGGUGGCUCAAUUCUUUUUACGGAGAUUAUUCAUGAUGAAUAAAUUCUUGAUUACAAGUGAUUCAUCUUUCUUUCCGGAGUUGGUCAUCAUAUCACAUUCUCGGUUUGAGAGGCUUCAUCUUUCUUUUUGGAGUUCCAAGCUCUCUCAAUUAUCUCGUCGCGAAGCUCCAUCUAAAUCAUUGCAAGGGUUCACCUUGUGUUUUCAACCUCUCUUUCUUCCUAUCAUCCUUUUAUUACUGGAGUUCUUCAUGGAGGCUCUACAUGGUGGUUCACAAGGAUUCUUUUCAUUCUUCAAGUGUUCUUCAAGAUUUCUCUCGAAUCUAUGACCCGCCAAGUUAUACUCAAAAAUAAACAUGGUGCCCAACACAUGUUUUAUUUUGAGGAGUUCAAGUAUUCUUCAUCUUGCAUUUUGAGGUGCAAUUCUCCUACCUUAUCUUUUGAGAUGGUGUUAUAUCAUUCUUGACAGUUUCCCUUCAAGUUUUUUGAUUCACAAGUUGUCAAGAAUGAGAUAUUGUGAAACCAUCAUUUUCUCUUUGAUCAUGAAUUGUUUCAACCCAUAUUAAUCUCUUCGUUGGAGUUAUAUUGUGUCAUAUUUCACCUAAAGCCUUCCCUAAGAAAUGUUGCUAUUGUGGUGCUUAUCAAUGAUCCAAGUUUUCUCCUAUCCUCUCGGCGAAAGCAGUUUUCAUCUCUUCGUUGAUCUCAAGCAAGCAAUUGUUUCAGUUAGUGGCCGGUUGUCACCUCAUCAUUUUGAGAUGUUUGCCAUAAGCCCACAACAAGCUUGUGCUUUUCGUUGUUGAUUUUGCAACAACUUCGUUCAAUUCUUCUUUGCAAGGAUGCUUUCCAAGUUCAUUUGUGGCAUAAGUUGGCAUUUUCUUCUCCGUUCUGUUAUUCCAAUGAUCUAUCUUCUAUUCUUUCUUCUGGAGGCAUUGUGAUGUUGCUCUCUUCACCCAUCACCUCGUUUUUUCAAGAUCAUGUUAUUCUCUUGCUUAUCCAUUUAAUCGGAGUGUUGUGUCAUCUCUUCAAGUUCUUUCAUGUUAUCAAGUUUUGCAUCUCUUUUCAACCGGAGUGUUGUCCGAACUUGAUCUUCCUUAUUCCUUGUUUAUCUUGUUUCAACCAGAGUGGUUCCAAUUCCUUCUUGUCCAUUGUACUCGUCAUUCAUAGCUUUGCAACCUCCAAGGUUCACAUGGUGUUCCUUGUUUCUAUUUUUCUACCGCAGUGCUCUCAAUUGUGUUCAACUCUGUUGUGUUCUUUCUUUCAACUUUUCAACCUCUCAAGGUUCGUGGUUUUACUCAUUGGUCGAAGAAGCAACUUAGUUUACCUCUUCUCUUCCUCUUCCGUUUCUCUCCGGUGCCAUCCUAGAUCUCGGGACGAGAUCCUGUCGUAGUGGUGGAGUGUUGUAACGCCCCGGAUACAACUUUCCAUAUUCGUAACUCCAACUCUUGCCUUUUCCGGAGAUGCGAUAUGAUAUUUCCUUCGUGGUUGGGUUUUGUCUGUUGUUUUGCAUUUUGUUCUUGUUCUGCAUCUCGUCUCAUGUCAUCAUUCGCAUUGCAUCGGCAUCGUUUUCAUACAACUUGCAUCCGUUCGGGUUCUCCCGGUUCUCUCCGUUGUCCGUUCUGAGCACAGACACACUCGCACGCGCCCGCGGCACCUCUGAAAUAUUAUUUUAUAAGUGGCAUAAAAAUGUUCUCGGAAUGGGAUGCAACUUGGCGUGCGGUCUUAUUAUAGUGUAGAGAGACCACCUGUCAAGUUUCGUUGCAUUCGGAGUCCGUUUGACUGCCCAACCGUUAAACAUAUAGCGGCACCGUUGCCGGUGUUUUCGCCGGACGUUUUGGUCUCCGGAACAGUUGCCGGGCCUCACUUCUCUUCUCUCCUCUCAGCCGAGGCCUCUCUUCACAGCCCACCUAGACCCCCUAUGUCCGGAGUUGCACGAUCGCGAUCGUAUGGCUCGAAAACCCCUCCAAACCCUAAUCUUAACCUCCUGCCCUAUUUAAACCACCUUCCCCUUCCAAUUUUGGCAGCCUUCCCCCCUCCUCCACUUUUUCCGCACCACCCAACCCGCAGCCACCUCCUCCCACCUCGGGGGCCGUGCCGCCGCCUUCCCCCCUUCCAGAUCCGGCGCGCCCCAGCCUCCCUCCACCACUUGUCAAGCCCCUAGUGGCCAGCCACCACCACAUCGUCGCCUCCAACCACUCUGGGAGCGCCACAUGGCCUCGCCGCGUCCUCCCCGCCGCCGAGGCCCACGGAAGGCCGCAACUGGCCCGCCCCGGGCCGCAUCUGGGCUCGACGCGCCCACUCCCCCGCAACCGUGCCGUCUCCCUGCUCGCUCGAGCGAUCCAGAUCGGGAGAGGAGCUCCCGAUCCAGAUCGUGCCUCGCCGCCGCCUCUGGCCGAAGCCAUCUCGCCGCCGUCUCGCCGCCCCGGCGGACCCAGGUCGCUGCCGCCCGGUCUCUCUCUCCCUUCCCUUUCUCCUUCCUCCCCUCACCAGCUCUCUCUCCCCCGCAGCUAGCCGCCGCCAUGAACGCCUCCACCGAGCUCCGCCAUGGGCAUCACCACCUCACCGCCGGCCUCCUUCCGCUAGAUCCGGGUAGGGGAUGGUCGGAUCCAUCCAUCCCUAACCUCCCGCCGACCCCUACAACACCGGAGCGUUGCCCCGCCGCCGGUCUCCACCACGUCGACCUCCUACCUCGUCCUCGUUCGGGCAGAGGACGAGGGCAUCCUCCUUGCGCACGUGGGCCAGCGCGUCGCCCUGCUGGUGGGUCACCCCACCUCCAAGGCCCACGUCGCCUCGGCUCAGCCCCGACCGGCCUCAAGGCCCGAUGUGAGCAGCUCCCCGACGCCUGGGCCAGAUCUCAGAUUCGGCCCAGCGUAGUUUUUUUUUCGUUCUGCGAUUUGCUAAUUAUCCAGAUUUUGCAUAUUUACAGAUUAACCCUCCAUGUUCAUGCAUAUAAUAACUCAUGAACCGUGCAUCGGAUUUAAAUAAUUUAUAUAUGUAAAAUGCUUAGAAUUUUGUGUAGAUUAAUAAUAUGCUGCUUGCAUCCAUGUUUAAAAUGUUGUUUGCAUUUAAUUUGCUCAAAUGCCAUGCUAAAAUGAUUUAUUUCAUAACUAAAUAACCGUAGCUCGGAAUUUAAUAAACUUUAUAUGUAAAUGGGGUGGAAAAAUGCCUAGAUUAACAUGGUGCACUUUAUUUUGCUGUUUAACAACAUUAAAAUUGUGUUUAGGGCAAAACAGUACCGAAUCUAAAAUAUGCACAUGGGGAUUUUUCCGGAAUUGUUGUUUGUUGUUUCCGGCCUCACUUAAACUUGCCUAGAUAGGUAGUUUAAUUAUGUUUCACCUCUUGCCAUGUUUAACAACAUUUAAUAUUGUUGUGUACCUAAACGAGAGCGAACUAAAUAACUCGGAUGUGGUGUUUCGUCAAUAUGCAACUCGUUGCAUAUUGAGCUCCACUUAACUUGUAUUAUUGUUUGUUGCACUUUGCCAUGCCAUGCCUCAUUAAACCGGACAUGCAUCAUACUUGUUUGUGCAUCAUGCCAUGAUUAUGCUUGUGUGUUUACCAUGUUGUUUGUUUCUUUCCGGUGUUUCUUCUUAGUUCCGGUAAUGUUGCGAUUGUGAGGAUUUGUUCGACUACGCCCGUUCAUCUCCUUCAUGGACUCGUUCUUCUUCCUUGCGCGAUUUCAGGCAAGAUGACCGCUACCCUGGAUCUCACUACUAUCAUUGCUAUGCUAGUUGCUUCGUUCUAUCGCUAUGCUGCAUUACCUAUCUUUUGCUCUUCAAGCCUCCCAAAUUGCCAUGAACCUCUAACCUUUGACACUCUUCCUAGCAAACUGUUGCUUGGCUAUGUUACCGCUUUGCUCAGCCCCUCUUAUAGCAUUGUUAGUUACAGGUGAAGUUGAAGAUUGCUCCAUGGUGGAUAGGGUUUUGGUUGGGAUAUCACAAUAUCUCUUAUAUUAUUAAUGCAUCUAUAUAUUUGGUAAAGGGUGGAAGGCUCGGCCUUAUGCCUGGUGUUUUGUUCCACUCUUGCCGCCCUAGUUUCCGUCAUACCGGUGUUAUGUUCCCGGAUUUUGCAUUCCUUACGCGGUCGGGUGAUUUAUGGGACCCCCUUGACAGUUCGCUUUGAAUAAAACUCCUCCAGCAAGGCCCAACAUUGACUUUUACCAUUUGCCUCACCACCACCUAUAUUUCCCUUGGGAGUAAUUAACCCAAGGGUCAUCUUUUUUUAGCCCCCCCCGGGCCAGUGCUUGUCUAAGUGUUGGUCCGAAUUGGGCAGACUGCGGGGCCACCUCGGGGCAACUCGAGGGUUGGUUUUACUCGUAGGCUGACCUAUCCGGUGUUGCCCUGAGAACGAGAUAUGUGCAGCUCCUAUCGGGAUUGUCGGCGCAUCGGGCGGCUUUGCUAGUCUUGUUUUACCAUUGUCGAAAUGUCUUGUAAACCGGGAUUCCGAGUCUGAUCGGGUCUUCCUGGGAGAAGAUAUAUCCUUCAUUGAUCACGAGAGCUUAUCAUGGGCUAAGUUGGGACACCCCUGCAGGGUAUAAUCUUUCGAAAGCCGUGCCUGCGGUUAUUGGCAGAUGAGAAUUUGUUAAUGUCCGGUUGUAGAUAACUUGACACCAGAUUCGAAUUAAAACGCAUCAACCGCGUGUGUAGCCGUGAUGGUCUCUUCUCGGCGGAGUCCGGGAAGUGAACACGGUUUAUGGGUUAUGUGUGACGUAAAUAGGAGUUCGGGAUCACUUCUUGAUCAUUGCUAGCUUCACGACCGUUCCUUUUGCUCUCUUCUCGCUCUUAUUUGUGUAUGUUAGCCACCAUAUAUGCUUAGUCGCUGCUGCAACCUCACCACUUUACCCCUUCCUUUCCUAUUAAGCUUUGCUAGUCUUGAUACCCAUGGUAAUGGGAUUGCUGAGUCCUCGUGGCUCACAGAUUACUACAACAACAGUUGCAGGUACAUGUUAUGCGAUGAUCAUGACGCGAGAGCGAUGCUUGCUUGCGUUGGAGUUCUUCUUCUGUUUCUUCUUCGAUCAGGGGAUAGGUUCCAAGUCGGCAGCCUGGGCUAGCAGGGUGGAUGUCGUUUGAGUUUCUGUUUGUGUUUCAUCCGUAGUCGGUUGGUGCUCUAUGUAUUGUGAUGUUGUAUUCGUGUGGCAUUGUAUGCCUCUUGUAUGUAUCCCCAUCUAUUAUGUAAUGUUGAUGUAAUGAUAUCCACCUUGCAAAAGCGUUUCAAUAUGCGGGUCUAUCCUUGGUGGGACCUUCGAGUUCCUUUUGGAUAGGGUCGCAUAUUGGGCGUGACAUCUCUAGACCAAUAAGUCCCUGGAAACAAACACCGUCUACGUGUGUGUCGUGGGGUUAGUGGCUGGUGUGAUGGCCGGGUCGUGUGUGUGUGUCUGGGUAUAAAAAGCCCUCCCAUGUAUUGAUUGAGGUGCGCCCGUUUGUUGCCGCGCCACGGUGACGGUAUGUGCCGAACCGAGGGGAAGGGGCCUAAGGAAGAUGUAGUCUUCAUCGGGACCGUGGUAUGCGCCUGGUUGAUGUGAGAGUUCUUCCGGGGUUGUGCUGCGUGUGUGUACCUCCAUGUAUGUGUGUUUGAGUAGUUGAGUUGAAUAGAAGCCAACAUACAGGCCGUUCGGCGGCCGGGGCGUUCGUCGCCGGAAAAUUCCGUUCAUCUUCUUCUACCUUCGUCCGGCGGUCGUCGUCGGAGGGCGGUUCGGCGUAUGUCCCCGGUGGGUUUGUCCCAACAUUUGGUAUCAUGAGCUUCGUUGUCUUGGGCGUCGUUCUCCUUGCCGGAGGAGUGCCGGCAGUGGCGGAGUUCGCCGGCGGCUGCGCGGUGCUCCGGGCCGUGUGUCGGCCUAUGGAGGUGCGCGGCGCUGCGACAGCGCGGCGAGGAGGCCGCGGAGGUCCUGCUUGGUGGCGCAGAGGCCGCGAAGGCGCGGCGGCUUUGUGUAGCACGGCGUCGGCCGCCCGAGCGCGUCGGCGUCGACGACGUGUGUUGCAGGCAGUGAAGGGAAUUGGCGUGCAUCGCCGGACACGAAGAAGAAGAAGAUGCAGCAGGGUUCACGUCUGAGAGGCUGUAGCGGCUGCCAUGGUGGCAACGACGACGGGAGCUGCAGCGAGGACAACAACGACGAUGUCAUGGCUUAGGAGGUGAGUGUUGGCAUAAGCCAUGCCAUGUGCGGUGGUGACUGGCGUUGGGCGCGCCAAGUGUGUGUCCGUGUAUGCGUGGGAGAGGCCGCCCGAGUCGUGUGUGCUGUGACAGUUCGUGCAUGCAUGUAGCUGGAUUAGUGGUCGCAGGUGGUGACCGAGCCACACGGGUCAUACGUGCAUCUAGUCUAGGUAGUUAGUAUAUGGAUGCAUGCAUGGGUGGUUAGCGUGUUAGCCGGCCAGUGGUGGUUGGAUUACUACAUGUGUGUCGUGGGGUUAGUGGCCGGUGCGAUGGCCGGGUCGUGUGUGCGCGUCCGGGUAUAAAAAGGCCUCCCAUGUAUUGAUGGAGGUGCGCCGGUUUGUUGCCGCGCCACGGUGACGGUAUGUGCCGAGCCGAGGGGGAGGGGCCUAAGAAAAAUGUAGU